AGCACCGUAGCACAGUUGGAAGUGCGCCGGUCUCAUAUCUGCCUAGGCUGAAGUAAAUGAGGAAUCCGGAGGUCGUUUGAUCGAAACAAGCCGGUGCUA